UCCAAAUUGGUGUAUCGGCUAGCAUCACCCGCUUUCACCGGGUAGAGCCGGGUUCGACUCCCGGAUUUGGAA
rnacentral:tRNA from 1 species